rnacentral:misc_RNA from 1 species
GGUUGAUGCCCGCCACUUUGUAGGCCAAAUCCUGGUACGGAAUCCCACAAUAGCUUGCCAACUGCUUCGACGUACCCUGCACCGAAUGGCAAAGUCCGACAUGCGGAAUGCCGACGGCCCGAUCCACGGCCCAGCAAUUCAUCGCCAUCGGGUUCGCGUAGUUUAGAAACAGACACCCGGGUGCACCCAACUUCUCGAUAUCCUCGGCGAUCUUCAGGAUUUCCGGGAUCGUUCUCAGAGCGCGGAAGACGCCGCCUACGCCAAGCGUAUCCGCGAUCGUCUGGCGCAGGCCGUAGCGUUUGGGUAUUUCAAAGUCGAUGACAGUGCCAGGCUCGAAUCCUCCCACUUGAAUGGC